AGAGGGGGCAAGCGUUGUUCGGAAUUACUGGGCGUAAAGGGCGCGUAGGCGGCCUUCUAAGUCGAACGUGAAAUCCCUGGGCUCAACCCAGGAACUGCGUCCGAGACUGGAAGGCUCGAAUCCGGGAGAGGGAUGUGGAAUUCCAGGUGUAGCGGUGAAAUGCGUAGAUAUCUGGAGGAACAUCGGUGGCGAAGGCGGCAUCCUGGACCGGUAUUGACGCUGAGGCGCGAAAGCCAGGGGAGCAAACGGGAUUAGAUACCCCGGUAGUCCUGGCCCUAAACGAUGAAUGCUUGGUGUGGCGGGUAUCGAUCCCUGCCGUGCCGAAGCUAACGCAUUAAGCAUUCCGCCUGGGGAGUACGGUCGCAAGGCUG
rnacentral:rRNA from 1 species